GUUUUUCUUCUUUGUUGU
rnacentral:sRNA from 1 species